rnacentral:rRNA from 1 species
AACGAACGCUGGCGGCAGGCCUAACACAUGCAAGUCGAACGCUCCGCAAGGGAGUGGCGCACGGGUGAGUAACACGUGGGAACCUACCUUCUGGUACGGAACAACCAAGGGAAACUUUGGCUAAGACCGUAUACGACCUCCGGGUGAAAGAUUGAUCGCCGGAAGAGGGGCCCGCGUCCGAUUAGGUAGUUGGUGAGGUAACGGCUCACCAAGCCUUCGAUCGGUAGCUGGUCUGAGAGGAUGACCAGCCACACUGGGACUGAGACACGGCCCAGACUCCUACGGGAGGCAGCAGUGGGGAAUAUUGGACAAUGGGCGCAAGCCUGAUCCAGCCAUGCCGCGUGAGUGAUGAAGGCC